rnacentral:rRNA from 1 species
UACGUAGGGAGCAAGCGUUGUCCGGAAUCAUUGGGCGUAAAGCGCGUGUAGGCGGUUACAUAAGUCUGUUGUGAAAGUCGGAGGCUCAACCUUCGAAAGCCGAUGGAUACUGUGUGACUUGAGUACGGAAGAGGAGAGUGGAAUUCCUGGUGUAGCGGUGAAAUGCGCAGAUAUCAGGAAGAACACCUAUGGCGAAGGCAGCUCUCUGGGACGGUACUGACGCUGAGACGCGAAAGCGUGGGGAGCGAACAGG